AUACCUUUCUCGGCCUUUUGGCUAAGAUCAAGUGUAGUAUAUGUUCUUAUCAGUUUAAUAUCUGAUACGUGGGCCAUUGACUCACAUGAUAUUAACUCAAUAUUUUUUGGGGAAAGGUCCAUCAAGGUAGCUUGCUACUUGGGUCUUUGAGUGUCACCUUGGUAUUGUACUAUUGCCUUGGCCUGGCACACCCCAC
rnacentral:snRNA from 1 species